ensembl:snoRNA SNORD22 Small nucleolar RNA SNORD22
ACCCAGUGAAGAAACAGUCACACAUCUUACCUCCCAUCCCAGUCCCAGAGCCUGGGUGAACCCACUGGGGCUGGCUGGAGGAGGGGAGGCAAGUUUGUUUCAGAGGAACUGUCUGAGAGAG